AACGAACGCUGGCGGCAGGCCUAACACAUGCAAGUCGAGCGAGGACUUCGGUUCUAGCGGCGGACGGGUGAGUAACGCGUGGGAAUGUGCCCUUCUCUACGGAAUAUCCCUGGGAAACUGGGAGUAAUACCGUAUACGCCCUAUUGGGGAAAGAUUUAUCGGAGAAGGAUCAGCCCGCGUUGGAUUAGGUAGUUGGUGGGGUAAUGGCCUACCAAGCCGACGAUCCAUAGCUGGUUUGAGAGGAUGAUCAGCCACACUGGGACUGAGACACGGCCCAGACUCCUGCGGGAGGCAGCAGUGGGGAAUCUUAGACAAUGGGGCAACCCUGAUCUAGCCAUGCCGCGUGAGUGAUGAAGGCCUUAGGGUUGUAAAGCUCUUUCAGCUGGGAAGAUAAUGACGGUACCAGCAGAAGAAGCCCCGGCUAACUCCGUG
rnacentral:rRNA from 1 species